rnacentral:rRNA from 1 species
AUUGAACGCUGGCGGCAGGCCUAACACAUGCGAGUCGAACGGUAACAGGAAGAAGCUUGCUUCUUUGCUGACGAGUGGCGGACGGGUGAGUAAUGUCUGGGAAACUGCCUGAUGGAGGGGGAUAACUACUGGAAACGGUAGCUAAUACCGCAUAACGUCGCAAGACCAAAGAGGGGGACCUUCGGGCCUCUUGCCAUCGGAUGUGCCCAGAUGUGAUUAGCUAGUAGGUGGGGUAACGGCUCACCUAGGCGACGAUCCCUAGCUGGUCUGAGGGGAUGACCAGCCACACUGGAACUGAGACACGGUCCAGACUCCUACGGGAGGCAGCAGUGGGGAAUAUUGCACAAUGGGCGCAAGCCUGAUGCAGCCAUGCCGCGUGUAUGAAGAAGGCCUUCGGGUUGUAAAGUACUUUCAGCGGGGAGGAAGGGAGUAAAGUUAAUACCUUUGCUCAUUGACGUUACCCGCAGAAGAAGCACCGGCUAACUCCGUG